rnacentral:miRNA from 1 species
UAUUGAUGAUGAUGAUGAUGAUGAUGAUGAUGAUCUUCCUACUGCUGCUGCUGAUGAUGAUAACAAAAAGCACAAAUUUCCACAUCCUCCUCCUCCUCCUCAUCAUCAUCAUUAUCA